GUAUUCUUUGAUUGGACAGCGGGCCGGUAUCCACUUUCCCGAUUGGCCAAGCGCUUCCCCUGAGCGAACCUUUAGAACUCUGAGACACAAUAUUCUGUUACAUUGUAGCAAAAUGGCGACUGUCAUUCACAACCCCCUGAAAGCUCUUGGGGAUCAGUUCUACAAAGAAGCCAUAGAGCACUGCCGCAGUUACAAUUCCCGUCUCUGUGCCGAGCGCAGUGUUCGUCUUCCGUUCCUGGACUCGCAGACUGGUGUUGCUCAGAAUAACUGUUACAUAUGGAUGGAAAAGAGGCAUCGAGGACCAGGACUAGCUCCAGGGCAGCUCUAUACAUAUCCUGCUCGGUGCUGGCGCAAGAAGAGACGUUUGCAUCCCCCUGAAGACUCCAGGCUGAAGUUGCUGGAGAUUAAACCUGAAGUUGACCUGCCUCUGAAGAAGGAUGGCUUCACAUCAGAAGGGACCACACUGGAAGCCUUGUUGCGUGGAGAAGGGCUUGAAAAGAAGAUAGAUACUAAAGAGGAGGAUACUCUACAAGAAAUCCAGCGGGUUUUGGAAAACGAUGAGAAUGCAGAUGAAGUGAACGAAGAGGAAGAGAUAGAAGAAGAUAUUCCAAAACGAAAAAACAGACCCCGAGGACGGGCUCGAGGCUCUGGUGGUGGUAGGCGAAGGAAUGAUGUUUCUUCUAUGGAUGACCAUGAUAAACCUUAUGUUUGUGACAUUUGUGGCAAGCGCUAUAAGAAUCGACCAGGCCUGAGCUAUCACUAUGCUCACACUCACCUUGCUAGCGAGGAAGGGGAUGAUGCUCGGGAACAGGAGACACGUUCACCACCUGUCCACAGAAAUGAAAAUCAUAAACCCCAAAAAGGACCAGAUGGGGCCAUCAUUUCCAAUAACUACUGUGAUUUCUGCCUUGGAGGAUCUAAUAUGAAUAAAAAAAGUGGACGACCAGAGGAGCUUGUUUCAUGUUCGGACUGUGGGCGUUCUGGUCACCCAACGUGCCUGCAGUUCACAGCAAACAUGACAGAGGCUGUCAAAACCUACCAGUGGCAAUGCAUCGAAUGCAAAUCCUGUAGCCUCUGUGGGACUUCUGAGAAUGACGACCAGUUGCUCUUCUGUGAUGACUGUGACCGUGGUUACCAUAUGUAUUGCUUAAACCCACCAGUCUCUGAACCCCCAGAAGAAGUUGCCUACAGCAGGGGCAAGAGGAACUAACCUUGGCUGAUCCCUAAAAGCUAACAGAGUCAAGUCUGGCUAGCACUUGGUUGGAAAAUAAAAUAAGAAACAAAGCACCUGCUAUUGUUCAAACUGCACGUAAACUGAACCAGGAAGCUGGAGUUGUCACUUGUGUCAAGAACUACUCCAAGAGAGAGCAUCAGCUUUCUGCUACCAGCCCUAGAUGAGAAUAAAGGAUUGGGCUUAUUCUUGAAUCUGUAGCACCAGCACACCAUGAUCAUCCGUCACAUAGGCUAUGUGUAACCAUAAACACACUCUUGCCCUCAUGAAAGGAUGAACACUCAAAGAAGCAUCCAUAGCAUUUGCUUCUCCAGGGUUACAUUUCACCAAGAAUUGACCUCCUGGGUUCUACUAGAAGGAGCACAUCUUUGAGGCAAGGGGGAGGAUUCUAUGUUCCAAAUGGAUCAUUUUCCCCUGCAGUGCAUGAUUGCAGGUCUGUUGUAAUAGAUUCAUAUGUGUUAUGAUUAUAGCAUAAAGGGGAGCUGUUGUAACUGUUGAUAUUUAGGCAUUUAAACUGUGUGGAUUGUGAUUCUGAUUUGAUUUAUCUUCUCUUUCCUUCAGAUAAAUCAGUAUUCGCCAUCCCUCAAACAGUCAUGUCCCCUAAUUCCUAACUAACAUGGGCAACAGCUGAAAACAAUGGGAGUUAGAUUCUCAGCAUAUCCAGAGAACAUUAGAUUAGUAUUAGAGUGCUUGGUGAUUGUUUGUGAUCUAGGGUUGUAGUCCAGUGGUGGUAUUCAGCCGGUUCUAUCCAGUUCUUGCGAAUCAGUAGUGGGAGGCUCCGCUCACCUACCCGAAUGUAAACCUGUGCCGUUUUUGACACUCUGCGCAUGCAUGGAAGGUUCUUCGCAUGUACGGAGGUGGUGCCUGCACUCACAUUUGUGAACCAGUAAGUGAAUACCACCCCUGCUGUAGUGGGAUAUUAAACCUUACUUAUCAGAAAAAGUUCUAAUGGAAAAUUGCUGUUUAUAAGUAAAUAUGUCAGAUAAUAGUAUCUGGCUGUUUAUGGUUCUAUAAAAAACCCAAAAUAACCAUUCAUAAGGGAGCGUAUACACAAUAUCUACCUUGAAGCGUCUCCAUUGCCCUAAUAAUAUAGAGAUAAAACGGUGAUAUGACUUCAUUACUUUAAUGUAUCCCACAGCUAGUUUAGAUUCCCUGACAUAGCACAUCCAGUCUAUUGCUCUGCCUAGAUAAAUGACAGCCCAGUGAAGGAGUGCCAGACUCUCAAGCAAAAAGCAAAGCUAUCCCAAAUUCAUUUGGGAACAUUAUAUCUUUCUUUACAAUGGCUGCCUUCUCUUUCUUUAAGGGUGAAAACUUUAAAGAAAAAUUCCUUAUGUCAUAACUGGGAUUAGAGUUGCCAGCAGACAAAAGAUCAUCUCCUCAACUUCUCUUUCCCUGCACUACACUCACACGAACAACCGAGAAGCCUGUUUUGUGCAGGGUCACUCAAGGCUCUUGUCUCUGGCAACAGAAGAUUGGCAGCUAUGUCGGCCCUCAUUUCCAUAUUUGGGUGACAUAGCUGACUUGGGGUCAUUAGUUUAAUCAAAAACAAAUCCAGGUCUGACUUGGGUUUCAACUAAUCCUCGCUAAAUGCAGCAGCUCUCAUUUUAUUUUUAGUUUACGGUGUAUUCUGCCUGUCCUUCCUUUCAUUUCCCCCCCCCCCGGCCCCCCAAAUAAUCCUAUUAAAGGUUUAAAUAAAAAAAUAAAAGAUCAUGGAGACUAAAGGAAAGGAAGAAAAGAAUUACAAGAAAAAGAAAUGCAGAAAGAGAAGAAAAGAACUCCACCCCCUUCAUAGCCGGUGUAAAUAAUUCCCUCAGCUCUUCACUUCUUCUUAGCUAACAACGGUAAACUCUUCAUCUCGUAACCCUUUUCUUAACAACAGGCAAAUCAAAUAAGUGACAUCUACUUCAAUCCAGUUAGUAGCAAAAGAUCCAUGCAGGGCUCUAAGAUUUUAACAUUAAUUAACACAUAUAAAACUCAACAUUUCACACCUAAUUUAUGUCAUGAAAUAGUCUCAACAUUCUAUUGCAAACAACAUUUACAAAACACCAAAUUUAAACAUGACCAAAAAAAAAUCCCCUUUAGAAACGACAAGUUCCAAUGCAAAAUAUUCCAAAUAACAUAUUACAUUUUCCUCAUGUCCACCCUGUAGCCGCAUCCACAUUUCACAAGUAUAUAAUAACCUCAAUAUUCUAAUAGAGACAAAAAACCCCAACUAAAAUUAGAUAUAGCAAAGAUAAAUAAUUUCUCCUUAUUUAAAAAAAAACCCUCCAAACUUUCUUACUUUAACUAAAGAAAAACAAUUAAAUGUAAAACCAAUAUUAUAAAAUCAUAAUUACAUAAAAUAACUGUUUGGGAAGAACUUUUUACAUAAUAUCUGCUUUAGGCAAAUCCAGUACAACAUCACUAAUUCAGAAAGAAUCAUCCUGUAUAACAAUGUAACCUAUUUAUCUCUGCUAGAAUAAGCCAACUUUAUAAUUUUUUAAUUUUCUUUUAUAUAAGAAAGUGUUUCUCUGCAAUCCACCCAGGUGGUUGUUGAUCCUAAUACAAAUUUCUUUAGUGCCUUAAACAGUCUUUCUUAUAAAUCCAACAACGGGAAAUUAUUGCAUUAUUUCCUGGAAUUCUCAUUUUUCUUUUUUGAUUUUUAUUACCUCAUCAGGUGUAUUUGGUGACAGAUUUUUCUUCAAAGUGUUCACAUUCUCUUCAAGUAAAUUUUGUUGGACAAAUUGUUCUGUGAUAUCUUUGAUAACACAAUGUUCUCUAGAAGACAGAACAUAGUUUUCAUUUCUUGGUGCAGAUCCCUACACAGUUCUUCAAAUAUGUCUCUAAAUACCAUUAUAAAUUGCUUGUCUUAUACCUCCAAAACUCAAAAACAUUCUUUCUUUUCCAUUUAUACAUAUAUUGUUUUCAAAAAAUAGUUUCAAAGUAUUAAUAUUGAAAGCUCCAAACUCUGAAUUUUUUGAACCCUUAGAACUUCCUGUAGCCAAAAUGUGAUCUAAAUUUCUUAAUUUUAAAUUCUUAAAAAUUAUACAAUUAAAUCUUCAUAUUCUUAUAUUGAGGAUUAACGGCAUCCACUAACCUGGUGCUUCCAAUCUUGUUAUUCUUAAAAGUGUCUACUUUCCUUAAAUCCAUAAAAGACAAUUUCUGAAGAUCAUUAAAAAGGGAACAUAGUGUCCUCCGAAGGCUCCAAAUUGCAGUUGAAGCAAAAUGAUGAAUUCUCCCAUCUCCUUGUCCUGCCCCCCGCCCAAGAUUGCUGUCUCUUCAUAAGAAAAAGGAAUGACAGGAAAAGGAAAAACAGCUUGGCCAAUCUCGUUCACCUUGAUCCAGAGAAGAUCAAAGGUAGUUGAUCUGCUUUGGCUACUUUGUACAGCUCUAACCUGUCUGCAGCACUGUCUUCAGUCAGCCAUUUUCUCCUGGAAAUCUUGAUUUUCCUCUCCUUUCAGACGAGCAUGCUAUGCAACCAAGACCUGGUCAUUUGAGGGUGCCAAAAUUAUGAUUGGAUUCAAACAUGCUAAACGAUAGUUUGUUAAAUCAUGGAUUACUGAAUGAAUCAUGAUGGCUGGGUUAGCCAAACUAAAACCAAACCAAUCAGAUUACUGCUUUGCAUACUGCAUAAAGUCAAACUCUUUCAAAUUAUACAUUCCUUGGAAGAGUUGCUCAUAAACAAUACAGCACUCAAUAUGUUUGGAUUUCAGGUACAAUCUGAAUGUGACAAUGUCCUUAAAUGUAAGAAUCGUUUAGGGAAAAAAUCAUUUAGAAGAAAAAUGUAUACCGUAAAUUGUUAACAAUAGAAGGAGCAUUGCAAUAGUGAAUGUAAAAUCUUGUCUGUGAUUUACCUUCCUUUGGUCCAUAUCUUCAGACUUUUUAUGUCCAGCUGACCUCUGAUAGUAAUGACACCUCUUAGAUGGUUAAAAAUGUAUGUAGGAGGAUGCUUUGAAGAUCUGAUUGGAAACCACAGAGACUGUUGAUAUCACCCCAGGGGUGAAAAGUAAAAUUUGUUACUACCAAUUCUGUGGGCGUGGCUUGGUGGGGGGGGUAAUAUGACUGCGUGGGCAUGACCAACUUUUUUUUUUACUUUUAAAAGCAUUUUUUUUUGCCUUUAAAAGAAAAUAUGCCUCUGAUGAUCAGGCAACUCAGCUGGGAUCGUCAGAGGAGCCUUUUAAAAGAUUUUUUUCUACAGCCUCUUCAGCCAAAGAGGUUUUAAAAGGCUCUGACAAUCCCAGCUGAGCCAUGCAAUCAUCAGAGGCUUUUUUUUUUUACUUUUAAAAGAAUUUUUUCGGCCGAAGAAAAAAUGCUUUUAAAAGUAAAAAAAAAAACCCUCUGAUGAUCACGUGGCUCAGCUGGACAUGGGGUGGGGGUGGGCAGGGAUUUUUGCUACCAGUUCUCCGAACCACCCGCCACGAACCACCCGCCACCAUCGUCUGAACCGGGAGCAUUUCACUCCUGCAUCAUCCCAUGCUUUACAUGGAAUCUAGACAAAUCACAAUAUUUUGACCCGAAGUAUAUUAUCUGCUUCGAGCCUGAUACUAAUACUUUAAAGGAGAGCAUGGGAUGCACGGAACACAUGUAUCCUGUGUAAUACAAUUAUGUUGCAGAUCCCUGACUGGCAAUUUUUCAGGCUUCAAUACAAUUUUUUUUCCAGUUCUAUAUGGAAUGCCAAAGAUUGAAUUUGAGACUGUUACACCAAGCAGCAGGCCUUCUAGUACAAAGGGUCAGUGACUUUAUUGGGCAAAUUAAGCCCAUACUACUUCUCUAAGCUAGGGAUGAACAAUGGUUCAGCUGCCGUGCUCUUCUGUUGUUGCAGAGGCUGUUUCCUCCACUCCCAGCUCUGUUGUUUAGGCUUAACGUGAGAUUUUAAGGUGCAGUCUAAAAUGUUCAUAAUUGGCAUGCAGCAGAUUGGCUUCAGUGAAUGGGAUUUUUGCCCCUACAGCCUUAUUGGUUGACUUGUUAUAUUGCUGCAGCACUUAAUCACACCCACUCUGAUACACACACACAAUAUCAUUUAUUUAUUUUAUUUAUCUUAUUUUAUUUGAAUUUAUAUCCCGCCCUUCUCCAAAGACUCAGGGCGGCUUACACUGUGUUAAGCAAUAAUAGAAUAGAAUAGAAUAGAAUAGAAUAGAAUAGAAUAGAAUAGAAUAGAAUUUUAUUGGCCAAGUGUGAUUGGACACACAAGGAAUUUGUCUUGGUGCAUAUGCUCUCAGUGUACAUAAAAGAAAAGAUACGUUCAUCAAGGUACAACAUUUACAACACAAUUUAUAUCAAUCCAUUUGUAUAUUAUAUAUAAAGUCAACUUUAUUGCCCCCAACAAUCUGGGUCCUCAUUUUACCUACCUUAUAAAGGAUGGAAGGCUGAGUCAACCUUGGGCCUGGUGGGACUUGAACUUGCAGUAAUUGCAAGCAGCUGUGUUAAUAACAGUAGACUUAGUCUGCUGAGCCACCAGAGGCCCUAUCAUAAAGUGGUUGAUUUGGUUUUGGCUUGAAGUAGUGCGAUAUACAAAAUUAUCAUAGCUUAGUGUUAAGUGGGAAUGUGUUAAGUGGUUUAUUCAACAAAUUGCAGUAAGUUUGGAACUAAAUUAACUCUCCUUCACCCCUCUCCCCCAGUGCUGCAUAAACUAUUUAUUUGAGGUUGAAAUGUCCCUUGUCAUGUACAUGAUUGAGGAAGGGUCUUAGAGAGGCCCUCUAUGACCAUUUUGGUUUUUAUUUUCUGAGGUUGCACAGUGGAUAAAAAGGGAGGGAAAGAGGGGUAUAGACGCCUGACCCUGUCCAUAAUGGUUCCAACCCCAAGGCUUAAAAAAAUAAAAAGAUUGCUAGAUGAAUGAGAAAACCAGUCAACAGUGUAUGAUACACAAAUGUAGAUUAACAAGGUGUUGAGUCAGGCCGAAACUGAAAUCAUAAAAAGGAAUGGCUAGUUAAAGCAGAAAGUAUUGAUAGCAACUCCAACCUAUAAUAUACAACAUAAAAUACAUUUUGAAAGUGCAAUAAUUUCCCCACUUCAAAAAAUGAAGAUACAUUCCAUCUAACGUUAAACACCUUUAUAUUAGGUUGAUUUCAGUUGUAAAUGUUCCCAGAGAAAGUGUACAUUUUGCAUUUUCAUUCUGAGUAUGUUUAUAAAAUGACACAAUUAUUUCAAAGUUGUGACUAGUGUUCGAUAAUAAGACCAUGUGUUGUUAUACAUACUCUGUCUCUGAAAGCUGCUUGAGUCUUUAGUGAAAGCACCGCAAGCAGAACACAUAAAUUAUUAUUAUCUAUUAAAAGCCCAAGCACAGUUAGCUUGCCAAAAUUAGGGUUGUGAUACUCUAUAUACACUCAUGUGUGAGCUCCAUUGAUUUUAAUAGGACUGCAGUCAAUUCAAGCCAGAAUAGAAGUGCUUAGACUAUGAACAAUGUUAUUGGCUCUUAGACCAGCAUUUCAAAAUUACAAUGCUACAGUGCAUUGCCAAUAUAUCACAAUAGUCUUCUGUAAGCUGGUCAUACAAGGUCAAAGCCAUCUGCAGAACUGAAUGUCUCUUCAUUUUUUGCAUUAGAAUUCUAAGUCCUGAGAGAAAGUCUUUCACAAACAAGCGCAGAUUUUGGGAUUAAAAUGUUUGCGUUUGUUGGAUUUAAACUGCUGCUUCUACAUACGAAAAAACUCUGCUUCGUGAGAAUUGGUUCUUAGAUGUAAGGUAUCUUGAGGGAGGUGCAGUUUUAAAUAUUUCAUGGUAAACAUUCAAUGUUUUUUCAAGGGAACCAAAUCCUGUAGGUCAAUCUAAUCAAAUUGAUGGGGUUGCUUUUUUUCCUUUGUUCUGGGUGAGAGCAGGAUUAUAAAUUGAAUUUAAGACUGGCUAAAUCUGCUUUAUUUAGAGAAUUAAUUACUAAUAAUGACCUCAAAGCCAAUCAUCGAAUUAUUUUUCAGGACACACGCCAACCUAAAACUCUGAACGUGCAAUAGUGGUGGCACAAAACACACCUACUCAUGUGCAUGCACACAACCACCCAAGUUCUUCCAGACAAACUGAUCCAGGAUAGAAAAUAUAAGAAUAGUUCAAAUGCAUGUUUAAGAUUCUCCUCCUGUAGCUUAUCAGUGAAAUAACCAAGGUUCAAAUUGGUAAAAGUGUUGCUUCUAAGAAAAGUCAUCGCAAAAUUACGUCCUUAUAUGGAAAAAGGAGCAACUGGAGAAAGGAUGGCAUCCCAGAGAGAUGCAAGAUGCAAUUAUGGUGAUAUUCACAGAAUUUAUUAUUUAGAAAAGGUCUUUAAUUUAGUACCUUCAAUGUUUGUGCCAGGGAGAAGGGGAGAGACUGGCAACUGGCAGAGUCAUUUUCAUCUCGAGUUUUCUCUUCCAACAAAUAGAGAAAAUGUCAAAAUCCCCUUCGGUGAAUAAGUAAUUUAAACACGCCGUAUGAAAUCUCGCCUUGCCAGUGAUCACAGCAAAGGGACGCAGCGGCCCAGCUUGCUAAAACAAGGGCCUGUAUAACAAGAGGUUCCUUUUUAACGGGGAAAAAAACAACAACCAGCCAGAUGAAAGACAGGUUAUAGAGUGCUCUUUUCGUAUUGGAUCUUGUAAUGGCGAUAGACAAUGUGGAGAAAAUGCCCAGGCAGAGAAAUAAAAUAGCUCAGCCACAAACCAUGCUGCAAGCUGACUUUCUGCAGCAUGCUGUUUUCUAUUUCCAAGACUAAGCCCCUGCGAUGGGCGCUUCCUUGGCUCUGGCCAGCUCAGGCAGGAAAGCCCUUCAAUUUCCCAUUCUGUAGUGACUUUCAUUUACAGAAUGGAUGCGCUUACGGUGUGUAAGAAAGAAGCACUGGAAUUAAUCCAGCAAGGCAGCUAGGUGGUGGUGUGCACGUGUGCAUGUACGUGCGCCCGCAUGCCCGUGUUGUUUCUUUGCAUCUCCCAGCUGAUUCCAAAGCUUAGGACUUAACAGCUGCAGUUCUCUGGCAGAAUUAAUUCCUUCCGAGCCUUCGCUUCCCUCCCGCUUGUUUCAUUCAGGCCUUCUUAAGCCGAAGUGUGAAGGUGCCUGGCAACGCAAUUUCCUCCAUGGAUUUGGGCAAAUCGCAACCUCCCCCCCCCCUUUUUUUUUUUUCCAGAGGUAGCAGCUCAGACAAAAGUCAGAAUACUCUCUUUCAGAGGAAAAGGCUCGCUUUCUAUGCUAACAUGCCCAGGGUUUCUCCACAAGCCAGGUCUUGCAUUUCAAAAUUUGGGUAGCUGAUCCAAGCCCCCCGAAAAAGCGAGUGAGUCUCAGAGGGGUGCCUGACGGAGAAAUCAAAGGCUAAACUUUAAGCAAUUAGCAUUGUUAAUGUUUACUCUGAGAUAGUACAGCUGUGAAAGUCUCAUUAAAAUAUUCUCCAGGGUGGGGGAGGGGGAGAAGGCAGAGAUUAAGGUACCAACUUUCUUUCCUAUUAAAAAAAAAAAAUGCCCACCUGAUAUAAUGAAAGAUGCAUGUGCUUAAAUAUCUUGCAGGGCAAAACAUGAAAAAUAUACAUAUUUUAUCCCCCCCCCCCCGGCUGGCUAGUGGCAGUGUGUCAGGAAUGACACCUUGUGGAAUAACAGGUGCCUAAUAAACUGGGGGAAAGUGGAUAAAUUCUUUAAAAUUUGUAUUUCAGUAAUCAGGAUCUCACAAAUUCAAUACAAAGCUAUACAAGUAAAAAAAAUAUACAUUGUAGGUAGGAGAUCAAACCUGUCCCUGGGCCUUAGGUAGAAAGUAUAUAUAUAUAUUUUAAUUGAUCCAGGAUAAAAUCUUUAAGUCAAAGACCCUAUAGCACCUUUUUCAUCUCGGCUCACCUGUGUUGUUAAGGUGAUGGCACAAUAAUGAACUACUUUAUGCCAUAACUGUUGAUGCCCGGUGACAGUUUCUUAGUACUUAUAUUGUGCCCAUCAAGAGAAAAUGGAGCCAGGAGACUUCAAUGGACAUCAACACACAGAGAGCAUUGCAGAUCAUUAGCUUUUCUAGCACAGUAAUAGUAAUGCAGUAGGCAUCAGUUCUGUCAUGUUUGUGACAAAAGUCCUACUCUGGAGGUGCCAGAAAUGGAACUGGGAAAUUCCUUCAUGACAGCCAUGGGCUUUAUCCCUGAACUACAACAUGAAGGACCCACUGUUCUCAUUCCAGACAGCUUGUUCAGAAGGACACCAUGAUCGAUGCUGCUGAAAGCAUCUCAAGGUUCUGGGAGACGUAGCAAGGCUGUGCACCCCUAUCUUUCUUUUGGCAUUUUGGUGAUUAAUUUGAAAUGUUUCCCAGUAACCGUAUCCAGGAGAGACUGAGGUAGCAUGGCAACCAUCUGAAAACCUAUUCCAAGAAAAGGUAUUGCAUGCUCAUUAGAAAGAGGUUCAUUUUAUACUGCGCAGAAGUUUGGUAGGCCUAUGUGAGGAUUCAUUUUGGUGCAAAAUCCCCUUCUAAUCUCACACAACAGUACUUGAGGGCAAUCUAGGGUCUGGAAGUCAGCUUCAUCCCAAUCCCAUAGGCUGAAGGGAAAAGUAGAAGUGUAACAUUCGGAUUAUUAGGCAUGUGACUCAGGACCAGGUUAGGAGAAAAUUGUAUGCACUCCAGGGGUGGGUUUCACUUACCUUUGCUACCAGUUCGCUUGCAUGCGCACCACUUCUGCACAUGCACAGAAGUUUCUCCGCAUGCGCAGAUCGUAUUUGAUUACAUCUGGGCAGGUGGGCAGAGCCUCCCGCCGCCGCUGCUACGGGUUCGCCCGAACCAGGGCAAACCGGUAGCAGCCGACCACUGAUGCACUCACUCUUAAUUGAUAUACUUCCCCUGGUGCUUUGCUUCAGACAUUAGCUGAAUAACUUGACUCUCAGCUUCUGUGUCAAAAGAUAUCAAAACAACAAAAUUUCAAGUCUGCAGGGAACAGGCAUAGGAAUAGUUUUUAGAUGAUUAUUUCCUCUGUAUCCUUCAUUUGUUAAAUUAAGGGAUGUGUGCUUCCUCCACUGAUUCAAUUAAACAAAAUCUUUUAAUCUAGAAUUUAGCUAUACAGGUAGUCUUCGAUUUACGACCACAAUUGACCGCAACAUUUCUGUUGCUAAGUGAAACAUUUGUUAAGUGAAUUUUACAACCUUUAUUGCCACAUUUGUAAAGUGAAUCAUGGCAGUUGUUAAGUAAGGACCAUGGUUGUUAAGUGGCUCUGGCUUCCCCAUUGUCUUUGGUUGUCAGGAGGUUGCAAAAAGUGUUCACAUGAUCCUGGGAUACUGCAACCAUCAUGAAGCAUCCAAAUUUUGUUCCUGAUACCAUAGAGAUGCUGCAAACGUUUUAAGGGUGAAAAAUGGUCAUAAGUCACUUUUUUAGUGCCAUUGUAGCUUUGAACAGUCACUAAAGGAACUGUUGUAAGUCUAUAUAUGCACGUAUAAGCUCACAAGGGUCACUUUUGAAAACCCUUAUUGCCUCCAAUUAUGCCUUCUGUUUCUAGGACUUCUUGUCUUUUAAGCAAAAGGCAAUAAGUAAUCAAAUAAGCCUUUUUUGACUGUAGCAGAUGCAUUCAUUUUUCCUUUUGUUAUGACUCAUCCUAGGCAUGGAUGUGGAAGUAUAAUUCUUUAUUGCUUUUGCUCAGAACUAUUUUUCAGCCAGGUCAGUAGUUAAUGCUGUGCUCUCUUCUUCUGGCUUAAUUUAGGCUUUUUUUGGAGGGGUGGGGUGGGGCGGAAGACCUUUGACUCAGGUUUUUUUUUUUUUUUGGACUCCUGGUGACUGUCCCAGCAGUUUCCUAGCAAGGUUUUUCAGAAGUGGUUUGCCCUUGCCUUCUUCUUAGGGCUGAGAUAAAAGUGAUCGGCUCAAGAUCACCAGCUGGUUAGUGCCCAAGACAGGACUAGAUCUUACAGUGGCCCAGUUUCUAGUCUGAUGCCUUAAUCACUACACAGAACUGGCUCUCUUAUAAGUGUUUUAGUAUGAUUGAUUGAAUACACAUAGUCCACUCAUGAGCCUUAGGAACCAGAACAGAGCCAAUGUUAACAUGAUGCUGGGACCAGAACAACUGGUUGACCAAGUCAGACAAAACCAUUUGUUUUUUGGGCUUUGUAUCAGUCAACAAGGCAUCUACUUAAUGCUACAUAUGGUGCCAGUAGAAAACCAUAUCUUGGAAUCUUGAGGUCAAUGAUCUUGGUGGCCAAGCAAGAAAUGUUAUUUGAAACAUUAAGUACUGUAUUUACUGAGUAUUGGCUAAUUUAGCAAGCUGGUUGUAGCUGAGAUGCCAAUCAGCAGCUUUGCCCAUUUGGUAUUCUGAUCACUGCUAUUAAAAUUUCAAUAUAGUUCAGAAUAGUCAUGUGUUGGACUCUUCACUGUUAUGAAUCAAGGCCUUUGUCCUUAUUUUGGUUGGGAUGCAACUUAAGAGAUGCUAGAGCAUAGGCAGCUUCUCCUUAAUUCUUUGUGAAUAACUCAGAAGUGUGUAUACUUGUGUUCCCCUAUCUCUAAACCUGGUAAUUAUAAACUGUUUUUGUCCUGUUUUCUUUGUCAGUUUUGUCUCUGCAGCUCCCUAUUUUCACCAGCAACUAAGUUUCCGUUGACUGAUGUAGCAGCUAUUUCCCAUUUUUCUCUAGUGCCUCUUUCCACUCCAUAUUUGGGAUACACUAUUUUCCCCCUUUCUGUCUUUUCUAUUUUUAAGUCAGUAUAAUUAUAAUAAGUGUGCCAACCUACAUACUAGGGUAGGCAUGCUAACUAAUAUAUUUUUUUCUGCAAUGUAAGUUAUUGCUUUCCAUGUGUGUUUGUGUAGCUACAAUAAACUUGUGGAUCUCUUUGAAUUUUAA